UGCAAACUGAAGAUGGCGACCGGCGCACGGGUGAGUAACACGUAUCCAACCUGCCGAUAACUCCGGAAUAGCCUUUCGAAAGAAAGAUUAAUACCGGAUGGCAUACGAAUAUCGCAUGAUAUUUUUAUUAAAGAAUUUCGGUUAUCGAUGGGGAUGCGUUCCAUUAGUUUGUUGGCGGGGUAACGGCCCACCAAGACUACGAUGGAUAGGGGUUCUGAGAGGAAGGUCCCCCACAUUGGAACUGAGACACGGUCCAAACUCCUACGGGAGGCAGCAGUGAGGAAUAUUGGUCAAUGGGCGCGAGCCUGAACCAGCCAAGUAGCGUGAAGGAUGAAGGCUCUAUGGGUCGUAAACUUCUUUUAUAUGGGAAUAAAGUUUUCCACGUGUGGAAUUUUGUAUGUACCAUAUGAAUAAGGAUCGGCUAACUCCGUGCCAGCAGCCGCGGUAAUACGGAGGAUCCGAGCGUUAUCCGGAUUUAUUGGGUUUAAAGGGAGCGUAGGUGGAUUGUUAAGUCAGUUGUGAAAGUUUGCGGCUCAACCGUAAAAUUGCAGUUGAAACUGGCAGUCUUGAGUACAGUAGAGGUGGGCGGAAUUCGUGGUGUAGCGGUGAAAUGCUUAGAUAUCACGAAGAACUCCGAUUGCGAAGGCAGCU
rnacentral:rRNA from 1 species